rnacentral:rRNA from 1 species
UUAAUUGAAGAGUUUGAUCAUGGCUCAGAUUGAACGCUGGCGGCAGGCCUAACACAUGCAAGUCGAGCGGAAACGAAGAGGUGCUUGCACCUCUGGCGUCGAGCGGCGGACGGGUGAGUAAUGCUUGGGAAUAUGCCUUAUGGUGGGGGACAACAGUUGGAAACGACUGCUAAUACCGCAUAAUGUCUACGGACCAAAGUGGGGGACCUUCGGGC